AUUGCCUCAGUAACGGCGAGUGAAGCGGCAACAGCUCAAAUUUGAAAUCUGGCCUCUUUGGGGUCCGAGUUGUAAUUUGUAGAGGAUGUUUCGGGUACCGCCUCGGUUUAAAUUUCUUGGAACAGAAUGUCAGAGAGGGUGAGAAUCCCGUCUUGGACCGGCGGUAGGGCCCAUGUGAAACUCCUUCGACGAGUCGAGUUGUUUGGGAAUGCAGCUCAAAAUGGGUGGUAAAUUUCAUCUAAAGCUAAAUAUUGGCCAGAGACCGAUAGCGCACAAGUAGAGUGAUCGAAAGAUGAAAAGAACUUUGAAAAGAGAGUUAAACAGUAUGUGAAAUUGUUGAAAGGGAAGCGCUUGCAACCAGACUUGAGCGCGGCGGUUCCCCCUUCCUUUUGGUUGGGUUACUCCGCCGUGUCCAGGCCAACAUCGGUUCUGGGGGUCGGUUAAAGGCCCGGGGAAUGUACCUACUCCUUCGGGGGUAGACUUAUAGCCCCGGGUGUCAUGCGACCACCCGGGACCGAGGAACGCGCUUCGGCUCGGAUGUUGGCGUAAUGGUUGUCAGCGACCCGUCU
rnacentral:rRNA from 1 species